rnacentral:lncRNA from 1 species
CCUCUCCAUUUUUAAUAAAAUCUAAUAGCAAAUAAUGUUCAACUCUAGGUUGGUCACCUUUACGCUUUUGUUCAGGAAGCUUAUUUAGCAUAAUUUCAAUGAUGCAUAAAUACCUGGUUACUAGUUAAAAGAAAAUCAGUUACAAGUUCUAGAAGGAAAUAGCAGACGGAUGUAAUAUAUGAUCUUAAGGCUAAUCAUGCCAGAUAAAUGAGAUCAAGUUUUGAGACUAGUGUCAGAGGGAAGCACAGCUGGGUAUUUUCAAACCCCCAAACUGAGUUUCAUUAGAAUAUUUGAUGCAAUACCACAACGGAAAUAACUUUUCUUACAUUAUUCUUAUUCGUCAUGUAUAUAGUACAUUCAGUGAGCAUGGUGCUCUACUGAGGUGACAUGAUGCCCUCAAGGUGUUUUGGACUACAUAUCCCAUAAUCCAUGUUGGUUGAGGCUGAGAGGAGCUGUAGUCCAGAACACAGGGAGGGCACCAAGUACAAGAGGCCUGGUCCCUGCCCAGAGGAGCUUUCAGUCUGAAAUUCAACACAUGUAAAACAAUAAAGGAAGGGGGUGACAGAGGUAAACAGGGAAAGCAACAUGCAAUUAAAUUUCAGUUGUGUGUGCUUAGCCUUAAUUACAGGUCUAGCUGCAGAAAGGAAUGGAAACAAAGACGUUUUAUGAAGGGCUUCCUAGAAAAGGUGGGUUUUGAAGGAAGGAAGACAGCUGACAUCUCAAAUGUGUUCCAGGAGACAGUACCAAGCCUACAGGGCAGCGAAGGGAAAAAGGCAAAACCUCCUGAGGUCCUCAGUAUUGAUGUUCAUUUUUUCUUAUUUCAAUGAUCAGUCCAUGAAAGCAAAAGUAUCCAAAAGUUGAAAGAAGGAAGCAGCAGUAGUGAGGUGAUGAAAAGUAAUGAAGACACCAAGGACAUUAUGCUGUAUGAACUGCUUGACCUCGUGAUCUAAGGAGCAUCUUCCAUUUCUACAAUCACUCCAGCUGCAGUUCCAAGCCUCUGAUCCAAUUUCAAUUUUGCCUUAUUGAAGGCAGGUGAAAAUUCCAAAUAGUAAUUCAAACAGGGCCAUAACCAUUUGCUGAAUAUCAUUAUUAAUAUUCAGUGCUUUUUUUUCUUAAAAAAAUGUUUAUGGGUACUCUCAUUUUCCUACUCAUAUUGAAAUACUGCCCCUCAAUGAGGCCAAACUUAGAUUCACAAAAUGUUUAGGGGUAUGCGUCCCCCCCCCCGAAAAAAAAGCACUGUUAAUAUUUAAACCUUACUGGAAACACUUUCCUUCACUGAGCUGCUACAAUCCUAAGCAUACUUGCUAGAAAGUCUGUCCCAAAGAACUCAGAAGCCCCUUUCCAAGAAAACCAUAAACAAGACUGAGUUGUCGUUGCAUUUCUCUUCCCCAAAGCUAGUUGCCUUUGUGGCUCCUGUGGCUGAUCCAGUCCCAACCCCUCCUCCUUCCUCCUCCUCCUGUGUCACUCUGUCAUUUCCUGGAAGGGAAAAAUAUAUAUGUGCUUAUUCAUUUCCUAAGGGCAUAUCUUGUGCAAUUGUGCAAUUGAAGAUCUAUUUUAUGAGAGGUGGCUGGAAGCGUCAGGUCUAAGCAAAACCAAACUGGUCACAGAGGGAAUAAAACUGCAUUCUAAAAAUAAAGAUUAAUACCAGGGCUCCCCCUCCCCCAGCUAGAACUCAAUCCUGGCCCCUCUCAGGUGGUGCCAUUGCCAUUCCAAGAGAACGAGGGAGGUGUUCAUGGUAUGCUCCAGACCUUUAUAGAAGAAUAGCACUGAUUAAUACUAUGCACAGAGAUAGGUUAUUCAAAUUAUAUGAAAAAGAGAAAGAUUACACAAAUUAUCAGGGCUAAAUUUACACUGGAGCCCAGAAUCAGCUUUCAGUACCAUGGUAUGCCAUGGAACUAGAAAAAUCACAAAUAUGAAAAGUGCCUCAAAUCUUGUGGCCCUUCUAGAUUUGCACUUUUAUGGCUGUAAAAGAAAAGGGUCACUUCAUCACUGAUUUAUUCCAUCAUUUAAAUACACGCACCAGGAAAGUCAUGGUGAAAUUCACUGAUUUUUAGCCAAUGGCAACCUAGAUUUAUCAUUAUUCUUUUGAUUUCCAAGGUUCAGGCUGUGUCAUUGUUUAUAUAGCUAAAACAGCAGCACCCCCACACAAGAGGGAGAUAUCAACAGACUUCUGAAGACCCAAGGCUGGAAGAAGUACCCCCCCAAAAAACUAAAACACCUUUGGUGGGAAAAAUCCUAAGAGGGAGGCCCCAAAACAGCCCAAGGUGGACUGAGCAUGCCAAGUGAUCAUGGAAUGCUGACCAACUUUUGAGGUAGGUGGAAUACGAGAAUGGAAUGGCACUGAUGCCAUCAUCAUCAUCAUCAUCAUCAUUAUUAUUAUUAAAAUUUGUAUACAAAAUAAAAACACUAAAUACAUAACAACAACAAAACUGUAUGAAUGUUCUGCCAUACGAUAUAUAUACAUUUUUUAAAAACCCUCUGCGCAUAGCAAAGUAAAUGUCAAAGUGAAAGCUUCUUGCUAAUUAUGCUAUGGGGGGUGUUCCUGUGCAGGGAAAUUUUUGUAUGGCAGAGCAUUCCAUUGUGUAAGCCUUCACCUACGGUCUGAAGUGGUACACCCCAGAAACAGAUCUGCAACCUCAUCAAGAAGUAGGCCUGGUGAAGCUUCACUUUUGCUAUUCAGCAGAAUGGGCUUUCCUGUUUAAAGAAGAAAGGGGGUGUUUUCCUAUAGCGUGUAAAAACAAGGAGGAUUUGUAAUCAAUUGUUGCUCUUUUAAACUAACAAACUUUUCACCUCCCUGUUUCAAGAAAAUGAAUUAUCAGACUGGAUUAUAAAAAUGUAGAAUCACAUAAGGAUUUUUACCCACUUCAAUAUCCAGAUGGUGGGAAGUUGGGGAUUGGGGGGGGGGGAGCUUUUAACAAGUAACUCUUAAAAUGGUACAAAAUUAAGCUCAUCUGCUUUUUAUGGCUUCAAAAUUAGAUUCAUGUUGCCUUUUGAGAAAAAUCAAAGCCAGCAAACCUCUUCAUCAGGCAGCAUUUUCUUUCAGAUCUGGCAUUAGUCGAGUUUUGCUUCAUUCAUUUCCAUUCAAACGAUUUUUUUUCCUUCAGGGAGAAGAAGGAAUGCAUCAUCUCUUCAGUUUUAAUACAGUCAGCUGAGCUAAGAAUUUCUGACCAGAAAUGCUGAUGGCACAAGGACAGUCCUAGGGAUAUUUAUUAACACACUCCCCAUGAAAUAGAUGUGAGCAUUAAGACAGAGCAAAAGCAAUGUAUUUCUAUAGAAUUUCCA